UACAGAGGGCGCGAGCGUUGUCCGGAAUCACUGGGCGUAAAGGGCGCGUAGGUGGCGGCAUAAGGCCGUGGUGAAAGUCUGGGGCUCAACCCCAGAUCGGCCAUGGCGACUGUGUCGCUAGGGUACUGUAGAGGCAGGUGGAAUUCCCGGUGUAGCGGUGAAAUGCGCAGAUAUCGGGAAGAACACCCGUGGCGAAGGCGGUUCUCUGGGACGGUACUGACGCUGAGACGCGAAAGCGUGGGGAGCGAACAGG
rnacentral:rRNA from 1 species